AAUUUUUAUGAACAAUAUAAAUAAAUUAUUUAUAGUGGAGAUUUUUUUUGAAGUAUAUGAACUAUCAAUAAAAAUUUGGAAAAACUUCAAAUUCCACCCAUGUGGUUUCACACUUUCUUACUUUAGUACUCUAUGGUUUAAAAAGUAUCAAUUUAGUAUCCCGUGGUUUUAUUUUUAUCUUUUUAUUAUCGAUUCUACUAAUUUUUUUCGUUAAAUCAGUGAUAAAGUUAAAACUAAAGGGUACUAAAAUAAAUAUCCGAUAAAUCUAGAUGGGGUAUCUGAAGUUUUAUGUACAUAAUUUAAUAAAAUAUUAACGGGGAAGUUGACGAAAAGAUAAAAAUGAAACCACGGGACACUAACUUAAUAUACUUUAAACCACAUAGUACUAAAGUGAAAAAGCGCGAAACCACAAGGAUGGUUUUUGAAGUUUACCCUAAAAAUUUUAUUAACGAGAAAUAUAAUAAUAUAUUUUCAAAAUUAAUAUUUUUAUGUAUAAAAUAUAUAUUAUUAUAUUAAUACAUUAUAAUUUAUUAAACGCGGUGUUCAUGCCGUUUUUGUAUUCUAAUUUUUUAAAAACUGCUGAGUCACCGUGUUCGAGUCGUGUCGUAUCACGUGUGCCGUCUCCAC
rnacentral:lncRNA from 1 species